rnacentral:rRNA from 1 species
GAGCACUGUUUCGGCUAGGGGGCCAUCCCGGCUUACCAACCCGAUGCAAACUGCGAAUACCGGAGAAUGUUAUCACGGGAGACACACGGCGGGUGCUAACGUCCGUCGUGAAGAGGGAAACAACCCAGACCGCCAGCUAAGGUCCCAAAGUCAUGGUUAAGUGGGAAACGAUGUGGGAAGGCCCAGACAGCCAGGAUGUUGGCUUAGAAGCAGCCAUCAUUUAAAGAAAGCGUAAUAGCUCACUGGUCGAGUCGGCCUGCGCGGAAGAUGUAACGGGGCUAAACCAUGCACCGAAGCUGCGGCAGCGACGCUGAUGCGUUGUUGGGUAGGGGAGCGUUCUGUAAGCCUGCGAAGGUGGCCUGUGAGGGUUGCUGGAGGUAUCAGAAGUGCGAAUGCUGACAUAAGUAACGAUAAAGCGGGUGAAAAGCCCGCUCGCCGGAAGACCAAGGGUUCCUGUCCAACGUUAAUCGGGGCAGGGUGAGUCGACCCCUAAGGCGAGGCCGAAAGGCGUAGUCGAUGGGAAACGGGUUAAUAUUCCCGUACUUGGUGUUACUGCGAAGGGGGGACGGAGAAGGCUAUGUUGGCCGGGCGACGGUUGUCCCGGUUUAAGCGUGUAGGUGUGUGUUCCAGGUAAAUCCGGUUCACUUUAACACUGAGGCGUGAUGACGAGGCACUACGGUGCUGAAGCAACAAAUGCCCUGCUUCCAGGAAAAGCCUCUAAGCAUCAGGUAACAUCAAAUCGUACCCCAAACCGACACAG